GAGAGUAAGGGCGCACGGUGGAUGCCUUGGCACUAGGAGCCGAAGAAGGACGUGACAAACGACGAAAUGCCUCGGGGAGCUGUAAGUAAGCGCUGAUCCGGGGAUGUCCGAAUGGGGGAACCCAACAGGUACUACCUGUUACCCAUCUCUGUUAAGGAGAUGAGGAGGAAGACGCAGUGAACUGAAACAUCUAAGUAGCUGCAGGAAGAGAAAGCAAAAGCGAUUGCCUUAGUAGCGGCGAGCGAAACGGCAGGAGGGCAAACCGAAGAGUUUACUCUUCGGGGUUGUAGGACUGCAAUGUGGACUCAAAGAUUAUAGAAGAAUGAUUUGGGAAGAUCAGCCAAAGAGAGUAAUAGCCUCGUAUUUAAAAUAGUCUUUGUACCUAGCAGUAUCCUGAGUACGGCGGGACACGUGAAAUCCCGUCGGAAUCUGGGAGGACCAUCUCCCAACCCUAAAUACUCCCUAGUGACCGAUAGUGAACCAGUACCGUGAGGGAAAGGUGAAAAGUACCCCGGGAGGGGAGUGAAAUAGUACCUGAAACCGUGUGCUUACAAUCCGUCAGAGCCUCUUUUGUGGGGUGAUGGCGUGCCUUUUGAAGAAUGAGCCUGCGAGUCAGCGGCAUGUCGCGAGGUUAACCCGUGUGGGGUAGCCGUAGGGAAACCGAAUCCUAAUGGGGUGUUUAGUGGCAUGUCCUGGACCCGAAGCGGGGUGAUCUACCCAUGGCCAGUGUGAAGCAGCUGUAAGAGGUUGUGGAGGCGCGAACCCACGUAGGUUAAAAACUGCGGGGAUGAGCUGUGGGUAGGGGUGAAAGGCCAAUCAAACUGGGAGAUAGCUCGUACUCCCCGAAAUGCAUUUAGGUGCAGCGUUGCGUGGUUCUUGUUGGAGGUAGAGCACUGGAUGGUCUAGGGGGCUUAUCGGCUUACCGAAAUCAGCCAAACUCCGAAUGCUGGCAAGUGUAGCGUGGCAGUGAGACGGCGGGGGAUAAGCUUCGUCGUCGAGAGGGAAACAGCCCAGAUCAUCAGCUAAGGCCCCUAAGUGGUGACUCAGUGGGAAAGGAUGUGGAGUUGCGUAGACAACCAGGAGGUUGGCUUGGAAGCAGCCAUCCUUGAAAGAGUGCGUAAUAGCUCACUGGUCAAGU
rnacentral:rRNA from 1 species